rnacentral:rRNA from 2 species
GACGAACGCUGGCGGUGUGCUUAACACAUGCAAGUCGAACGGUAAGGCCCUUUCGGGGGUACACGAGUGGCGAACGGGUGAGUAACACGUGAGUAACCUGCCCUCAUCUCUGGGAUAACAGUCGGAAACGGUUGCUAAUACUGGAUAUGAGCCUGCAAGGCAUCUUGUGGGUUGGAAAGAUUUUUUGGUUGGGGAUGGACUCGCGGCCUAUCAGCUUGUUGGUGAGGUAGUGGCUCACCAAGGCUUCGACGGGUAGCCGGCCUGAGAGGGCGACCGGCCACAUUGGGACUGAGAUACGGCCCAAACUCCUACGGGAGGCAGCAGUGGGGAAUAUUGCACAAUGGACGGAAGUCUGAUGCAGCAACGCCGCGUGCGGGAUGACGGCCUUCGGGUUGU